UUGCUUGAUGAUUUGGUUUGAGCUUGCUGUGGGCUUCCUUUAAGUAAUUUCUAGUAUCAAUUGUUGCUUCAAAAUGAUAAACUUUAGCAGUUACUAGCACUGUAGCUAGCAACAUCUCUUACUUGUAGGUAACCUUGGUAAUGGAGGUUUUUCAAUAGUAUAUCUUUGUGUUCAUUUAAGAUUACAUUCUUUGAUUGUAAACUAAAGCAAGAAGAGUUUUUUGGAGCUGUCUCUUAUUUAAGGUCUCUCGGGGAUAGAGGGUAAGAGGUUUUGGAAGACCAGUCAUAAUUCACACUCCAUCCAUUUAAUGAAUUCCUUUGAACACAGGCUGGUGUUGUUGUGAGUAGAGGUGGAGGCUGAAAGCAAAGAAGGAGACAGUUUAUUUUUUUUAUUUGGGGGGGAUUUGAAAGUUUUGUGUGGUGUCCAGAAUCUGGAGAGGCUCACCCAAAAUCACAAGAGACUUUUAUUGAUUUUCUUUUUUAAAUGUUCUGCCUGUCAGCAACACUUCCUCUCUCCUGCCACGUUUCAAGAGGACUGUCACUGUUUGAACUUGGGAAGAAUUUAGAGAUUAAAGCCCAAAGGCAUUCUGGUGAAGUUAAUGGGAGUUGCUGUGUCGGAGCUGUCUCUGUAGGGAGGUGAACUACGAGUGGUGGACAGUGUGGAGCUUCAGUUUUAGGUCAUUUCUAUGAAAACACAGUAGGAACAGACAAACAGCUGUGGGUGCCGCCCAGCAGGUAUUUCCUGAUGUGAUCCUCAGAAAUAUUCCACGAAGUCUUUGACAGGUAGACUAUAGAGUAUAGUUCUAUAAUACAGUACACAAGGAAAACAACUUUUUGGCUAACUUAAUUUCUUCACAGUAGGUCAGUCAUCCCUUCAUGCAGUCUCAACUCCCUCCAUAUUUUCUGUCAAAAACCAAAGAUAUACUUUGUACCUCCUUACUUUUCUGAACCAUUUCCUGUUCUCCUCUAUCAACUUCUCAUUCUUCAGACAUCAGCAGCAGUCCAAUAAGUGUUACUUUUGGCUUAACGUAAAGGGAAGUGUUGCCUUUUAAGCACUUGCAGGCUGCAUGUGCCUGCAAGUGCAAAAUUGU
ensembl:lncRNA